rnacentral:misc_RNA from 1 species
AAAUUUGAUAAGUUUUAGUCAUAAAAACUCCAAAAACAACUAAACUACUUUUUCAAACAGCUUCUUUAAUUUGACAUCAACUCUUCUUAGUCUUUUGCUAAAUGGACCUAACCAUAGAGGGUAGAGUCCCGCUGUUCUCAAUAAGCCAUCAAUGUUAUAAAUCUUGAAGGUACCUGUCUGGACUCCUAAAAAUAGGUCCACAAAAAAGCUGAAGCUAUUUUUCUUCGAGUACAUGUAUUCUAAUUGCAAAUGCUUUUUUCCAUUUUAGCUUUCGUCUUGAAUACUGUUGAGCAAUUUAGAAUGGUAAAAAGAUAUGAUCAAUUGGAAACAAUUGCCAACUUUUUGCCAUGUCAUAAGUGAAAGAGGAAAAAUCUCCUUUACUAAUUACUUUAAAGAUAAGCAGUAGCAAUUAAAAUCAAUACUUUUCCCAUUUUUCCCACAUUAAGUGGUUUCCACUCCCCACUUAAUUUUGCAACUUGUUUAACCAACUCUCAAAUUUGAGUUUAAUUAUUAACAGUAAAGUAGUAGUCAAAAUAAGUCAAAAUAAAUUCUUAAAACUAUUAAUAACAUUCUUCUAUUCAUCCAUUUAUAUUUUUAGCAUAAAAAAAGACUAUUGCAGAUUCAAAACCAAAACAAAAGCAACUUCACAGUGAUAAGCGCUGGUCAAGUGUUGGUGAUUAGGCCAAUAACAUUUUACCAUGUGUGGGCCUCAAUUUUUUGUUGCCCUUUAUGUCAACAUGGAUUGUACAAACACGAAAUAUGAGAAAUAGAAGCAACACUAAUUAGAUGUAAUAAACAAAAAGAAUAUAAAAUUGUCUACUUGAGUGGUUUAGAGUUAGCACCUGUUGUUUCUCUACACGCAAGG